CCUACGGGGGGCAGCAGUGAGGAAUAUUGGUCAAUGGACGAGAGUCUGAACCAGCCAAGUAGCGUGAAGGAUGACUGCCCUAUGGGUUGUAAACUUCUUUUAUAUGGGAAUAAAAUGUUCCACGUGUGGGAUUUUGUAUGUACCAUAUGAAUAAGGAUCGGCUAACUCCGUGCCAGCAGCCGCGGUAAUACGGAGGAUCCGAGCGUUAUUCGGAUUUAUUGGGUUUAAAGGGAGCGUAGGUGGAUUGUUAAGUCAGUUGUGAAAGUUUGCGGCUCAACCGUAAAAUUGCAGUUGAAACUGGCAGUCUUGAGUACAGUAGAGGUGGGCGGAAUUCGUGGUGUAGCGGUGAAAUGCUUAGAUAUCACGAAGAACUCCGAUUGCGAAGGCAGUUCACUGGACUGCAACUGACACUGAGGCUCGAAAGUGUGGGUAUCAAACAGGAUUAGAUACCCGUGUAGUC
rnacentral:rRNA from 1 species